rnacentral:rRNA from 1 species
UGGGGAAUAUUGCACAAUGGGCGAAAGCCUGAUGCAGCAACGCCGCGUGAGUGAUGAAGGCCUUCGGGUUGUAAAGCUCUGUCUUCUGGGACGAUAAUGACGGUACCAGAGGAGGAAGCACCGGCUAACUCCGUGCCAGCAGCCGCGGUAAUACGGAGGGUGCGAGCGUUAUCCGGAUUUACUGGGUUUAAAGGGUGCGUAGGUGGGCUUAUAAGUCAGUGGUGAAAUCUCCGAGCUUAACUUGGAAACUGCCGUUGAUACUAUAGGUCUUGAAUUAUCUGGAGGUAAGCGGAAUAUGUCAUGUAGCGGUGAAAUGCUUAGAUAUGACAUAGAACACCAAUUGCGAAGGCAGCUUACUACAUAUAAAUUGACGCUGAGGCACGAAAGCGUGGGGAUCAAACA